GAUUAUAGGAACUCGAGUGCUCGUUGGCCAUGUGGAAAGAAUGGAAUUUCUGAACAGGAUUGUGUCGAAAAAACAGCUGGUUGUUGCUAUGAUGUUACUGCGACUAAAGAUGAAGUUCAGUGUUUCAAUUCGGCAGAUGGAAUGAGACGGACGAAUACACGUGAGUUUAUUACAAGGGAUUCGGCUGGUAACAGUUGCGCUUUAUCAAGAAAAGCAGGCUGGUGGUUUCGUUCAUGCUCACACGCCUGUCUGAAUGGAAAAUACGAUCCAUGUAAAAUUGGGGAGCAGUAUGCUUAUUGGCGUAAUCAUGGUCCUAAGGGUCUUUAUGAAGGUCUUCGAUUUACGGAGAUGAAAAUCCGACGCCGUUAAAAUGUGCUUUGUUAUAAAUUGUAUAUAUAGUACGGUGGGGGAUGAUGGGACAACUUUUCGUUCAAUUUUCUC